GAUGAACGCUGGCGGCGUGCCUAAUACAUGCAAGUCGAGCGAACAGACGAGGAGCUUGCUCCUCUAACGUUAGCGGCGGACGGGUGAGUAACACGUGGAUACCCUACCUAUAAGACUAGGAUAACUUCGGGAAACCGGAGCUAGUACCGGAUAAUAUAUGGAUCCGCAUGGUUCAAUAGUGACAGACGGUUUUGCUGUCCCUUAUAGAUGGAUCCGCGCCGCAUUAGCUAGGUGGUAAGGUAACGGCUUACCAAGGCCACGAUGGGUAGCCGACCUGAGAGGGUGAUCGGCCACACUGGAAGUGAGACACGGUCCAGACUCCUAGGGGAGGCAGCAGUAGGGAAUCUUCCGCAAUGGGCGAAAGCCUGACGGAGGAACGCCGGGUGAGUGAUGAAGGUCUUCGGAUCGUAAAACUCUGUUAUUAGGGAAGAACAAAUGUGUAAGUAACUAUGCACGUCUUGACGGUACCUAAUCAGAAAGCCACGGCUAACUACGUG
rnacentral:rRNA from 1 species